GUUUCUCUCCGAUUUUCCUGCAAAACCAUAUCGCGUCCUCCGUCUCUGUAACUGUAAUUAUACCACGCGCGCGAUCCGGUAAAAGUUUCAAACCGCGCGCGGCAUACACAUUGCGUUAACAUCAUUAGCGUGAUACCUCCGUCGCGGUAUUAUCGCCGCCCCCCUCCCUCCACCGCUCGAAUGUCGAAAUCAUUUUCGGCAUGAUUUUUCUCGUCCGUUCGAACAAUAAUAUCAUAUAUUCGAUUGCCGGUGUACCCAUCUACCGUAAUAUUAUCCGGGUACGUUAGGUAUAACUAUAUAGAUUAUGUGGGCGAU